CUGUCAGCUGGUUGCUGGUUCGUAUCGUUGCCGUUAUGACUAUUUAGUAGUAGGCUUAGGCUAUGUUUUUUGAAUUAGUAUUUAUACUCGUUUCUGUAAUUUACCUGAGUUUCAAAGCCAUAAAUUUCACCAUGAUUAAUAAGAAACACGCUGAUUCAGCCACCUCUUUUCGUAAAAACGUAAGGACAAGGAAUAGUGACAAAUCAGUGCAACAGGUUAUUACAUUAUUAGAUGAAAGUGAGGUUAUAGAGAAUAAAACGGACAGUAAGACAAACAAAAUCUCUUUAGCUAACAUUAGUCAUAAACAAGCAUGUGGAGCAAAUAACUGGUUCAAUUUCAUUAGAACUCAAUCCUCCCAGAAAAGUCUACCAGCGAACAAAAAUACUACUCAUAUGAGACAACAUGCUAGGCCUAGGCCUAGUUCUAAAAUCUCCCCAGAGUCAAAGAAAUACAAUAUUAUAGAUGAUGUACACCCAGUACCUUCAUUUGAAAGUGCAAACAAAGAAGCAACACGAAUUAGAAGUAUGACAAAUUACAAGCAAACUGAAGCAUGGAAUUCAAGAAAUACUGAAAAGAAAGAUGAUAGUAAAUUUGGAAAAUGCACAGAAACAAAACUAAUUGCCAUGGAUUGUGAAAUGGUUGGUGUGGAUGUCGGUGUAAAUAAUAAUAUGUUAGCUAGAGUUUCACUAGUAAAUGCUCGGGAAGAAUGCAUAUAUGAUAAGUACGUAAAACCAACUGAACCUAUUAUUGAUUAUAGAACUCAUGUGAGUGGUAUUAGGCCUAAAGACUUGAUAAAUGCACACGAUUUUAAAGUAGUACAAAAAGAGGUAGCAGAUAUCCUAAAAGGAAAAAUCUUGGUGGGACACGCACUGAAAAAUGAUCUGAACGUGUUAUAUCUGACUCAUCCUAAGAGAAUGAUGAGAGACACAUCAAGAUUCUAUAAAUUUCGUGAAGGAAGAACUCCAGCUUUAAAAAAAUUGGUAAAAAAAUAUCUGGAUGUUACCAUUCAAGAGGGUGAACACAAUUCAGUACAAGAUGCUCUUGCUACAAUGCAGCUUUAUAGAAUGUUCCGCAAAGAAUGGGAGGCAAGUUUAAGGGGUACCAAAAAAAAUAAUAAAAAACCUCCAAAUACAGUUACAAGAACUAAUAUGAUGGUUGAUGUUUAGGAAUGUGGAGAGAUAUAAGUUAAGCCUAUUGCAUGAAAACUAAAAGAAAAUAAUAAAUGCUAUUAUUGCUGCUAUAAUUCUUUUAUUCACAAAAAAAUUAACUUUGAAAAAGCCUGAAAAGUAUGCCAGUUCCAAUUCAGGCAGACUACUCUUGGAUGGAUACAAAUUUUCUUCAAAAUGUGCAAAGCAAAACAUGGAUGUUUUAUAGAUAACUAAUAAAAAUAAAUUAUAAUAGAAGUUUCACAAAAAGACAAAGUUCUGUAAAAGGGCUAAUGACGGAAAACCCAGAUUUUAUUAUUUUUUUGUUGUAAUGACUUGUUUGCUAUGAAGAUUAUAUUAUUUUCUUACAGAA